GAUGAACGCUGGCGGCGUGCCUAAUACAUGCAAGUCGAGCGAACAGACGAGGAGCUUUCUCCUCUGACGUUAGCGGCUGACGGGUGAGUAACACGUGGAUAACCUACCUAUAAGACUGGGAUAACUUCGGGAAACCGGAGCUAAUACCGGAUAAUAUAUUGAACCGCAUGGUUCAAUAGUGAAAGACGGCUUUGCUGUCACUUAUAGAUGGAUCCGCGCCGCAUUAGCUAGUUGGUAAGGUAACGGCUUACCAAGGCAACGAUGCGUAGCCGACCUGAGAGGGUGAUCGGCCACACUGGAACUGAGACACGGUCCAGACUCCUACGGGAGGCAGCAGUAGGGAAUCUUCCGCAAUGGGCGAAAGCCUGACGGAGCAACACCGCGUGAGUGAUGAAGGUCUUCGGAUCGUAAAACUCUGUUAUUAGGGAAGAACAAAUGUGUAAGUAAAUAUGCACGUCUUGACGGUACCCAAACAAAAAGCACCGGCUAACUACGUG
rnacentral:rRNA from 1 species